rnacentral:misc_RNA from 1 species
AUAGAUUGCAAUAUAGAUGUACACACUUAGAUAUGGAGAUAGAUGAAUGUGUGAAAAUUUAAGAUCAUUAGAAUGAACAAAGCUUUUCAUACAUAUAUAUACACACACAUGUGGCCAUAUGCUUCCAUUUCAAUGGGAGAACUAGUUCAUUUUUUAUUAUAUAUGCGGGGAGGGGAAGUCGAAGCUGAGUAUUCUAGAGUAAAUAUAUAUACAGCUAACACAUAACUAUGGCCACUACUGUGGAGGCACCAGUUAUUUAUCUUUCUCCUUCAUCGUUCCCCUUGGUAUCUGUUUAAGGACCCUCGAAUCAAAUCUUCUAUACGUUUUGUUGGCUUGUUGAAACAAUCUACCAACAUAUUCAUCAACUUCUUCUUCGUAUCGAUCGUACAGAAAUGGCAGUGUUUGCGAGCAAACAAAAACUAUGUAAUAUAAAUACAGAAUCUAUCAGCUUAGCCAAAAGCUCAAAGUCAUGGACAAUAUAUAUUCAUUCAUAGAUAGAAUAGAGGGUGACAAAUUCUUACCCAGAUAAAGAAAAUUCAAGAAAGUGAAGUAGCUUCCGAUCACCGAUAAUAUAUAGAGAGAAACAACUGUCUGAUAAUUUGGAAGAUGGAAUUGAUUAAUGCAAUAAUUAAUUUUUUUUUUUUCAAUUAAGCUCAGGAGAUUCAAGCAUGCAGUUAAAGGCAAUACCAGAAUGAAGAGUCGUGGAUCUUUUCCGCAUGAAAUGUCAAGAAGCUUUGAUAGGGCUUGAUUGAAUCUUUCAUGGAAGGCUGAAGCAACUUCAUGGAAUGCAUGUCCAUCUAAAAUACUUGUGGGGAUCUUUGGGGAAUUCCAAUUGAAAAAGUCAGCUCCAGUACACCAUAUGAAGACAAUGAGCAUUGCGGUGAUGGAGAAGUGACAGAAAAGAGUGACAAAAUUGUACUCAACCACCUCAAAGAGAAACCAUAUCACAGUCAUACCAAUGCUAAGCGAACCUGAUACAUUUUUCUUUUUCCAUAAUAACACAUCUGCAACUUUUCCUCCUCCAAGAACAUCAUGUAUUGAUCUUUGCCUUCCAAAUAGCUUCCCUCUUGGAAUUGUUUCAUCCUCAGAAUCUGACAUAGCUGCAGCUAUACUAUAGAAUGACUUCUGUCUCUCUUUCUAAAUUUAGCA